rnacentral:rRNA from 1 species
GGCAGACGGCUCAGUAACACGCGGAUAAUCCACCCUUAGGUGGGGUAUAGCCUUGGGAAACUGAGAUUAAUCCCCCAUAGAUCCCGGAAACUGGAAUGUUACGGGUUUGAAAGUUACGACGCCUAAGGACGAGUCUGCGGCCUAUCAGGUAGUAGGUGGGGUAAAGGCCCACAUAGCCUAUGACGGGUACGGGCACUGAGAGGUGUAGCCCGGAGAUGGGUUCUGAGACACGAACCCAGGCCCUACGGGGCGCAGCAGGCGCGAAACCUUCGCAAUGCGCGCAAGCGCGACGAGGGGAACUCGAGUGCCAUUGCCAUUUUUGGUGAUGGCUUUUCUUGACCCUAAAAAGAUCAGGGAAUAAAAGCUGGGUAAGACGGGUGCCAGCCGCCGCGGUAAUACCCGCAGCUCGAGUGGUGGCCAUUAUUAUUGAGCCUAAAGCGUCCGUAGCUGGCCAGGCAAAUCUCCGAGUAAAUCGGGCGGCCCAACCGUCCGAAUUCCGGAGACACUGCAUGGCUUGGGAUCGGGAGAGGGUGAAGGUACUCCCGGGGUAGGGGUAAAAUCCUGUAAUCCUGGGGGGACCACCAGUGGCGAAGGCGUUCACCUAGAACGAAUCCGACAGUG